rnacentral:rRNA from 1 species
UACGAAGGGGGCGAGCGUUGUUCGGAAUCACUGGGCGUAAAGGGCGCGUAGGCGGCCCUCUUAGUCGCGUGUGAAAGCCCCGGGCUCAACCUGGGAACGGCGCGCGAAACGGGAGGGCUGGAGUUCGGGAGAGGAGAGUGGAAUUCCCAGUGUAGAGGUGAAAUUCGUAGAUAUUGGGAAGAACACCGAUGGCGAAGGCAGCCAUCUGGACCGACACUGACGCUGAGGCGCGAAAGCGUGGGGAGCAAACAGG